AUGGUCCCUCAAACAGACACGCCGCCACACCUGCCGACCCCUGCGCAGCACACCCACCCCUACGCUCGGCCACCGCGGUGGCGACGGCCCAGCUCCAGCGCGCCGGCGACCGCGGCGGAGGCCCCGGAGGCGGUCGUCGGGGCGGGCGGCGCGAGGUGGGAGCCGAUGGGCGCGCGGGAGUACUACGACUACCGGCGGGCCAUCUACGGCGACAUCACGCACAAGGCCAUCCUUGUGGACGCCGCCAGCACCCUCCUCGCCCCCACCGAGCCCAUGGCCCAUGUCAGCCUACGCCCUUCCCCCAUAUACCGCAGCUCCAAUUCAUGUGUACAGAACAGUAGGCGAAAAUGGCGAAUGUGGGCGGGGUCGGCCGUGGAGGGAGACUUGCUGGUCGGAGCAGCAGGAGCAAGAAGAUUGAGGCGGUUCAGAUAUUUAACUGCAUUAGUGAAUGUUCUGGGUCUGAUACAGCAGCUAAGCUUAGGGCAAGACAAGAACAUUAGUUGGAUCCAGAGUAUCGAGAUUGCAGAGGACUCAACAAAGGGUCUGCACUUAUUCUAUAAAUUCAGUAUCAGGUAUGCUUCUCCGGUUGUCCCUCGCAUCAACUCUCUCAGCUCCCAAACCAUUAACCUCGUCCUGUUUGUUCCUUCCUACGGCCAGCUCGACCAUUUGCUCCGCAGGGAGUUUUUUAGCUCGGAAGGAGCAAAUAAUUUGAGAAUGCAUUGGUCUUUUCUGCAAUCUGUUGUACAGGAGGAUCUUUCAUGUUUCUCUGCAGGCCCCACUUGCAGUGCAGGGACAUACUGCCAUGAAGAGUGUGCGUCUCAAUGA
rnacentral:rRNA from 1 species